CAGAACUUGGCUAACCAUACCUGGAGGCAGGGCAGCAGAAGACAUGUACAGUGACUGUAAGUGGAAGUGAAUGACCGGUGACCGCCCCGGCGUGGGACGGGAAGGAGGGCUCCGCGCAGGCUGAGGCACGCUCGCAGGGUUGUCUUGUUGUUCCCUGGAGAUGUCCUUUGUGACCUCUCUCCUUUCCUCUCCCUUUUCCCUGGGCAAGAGGCCCCAGAAGGCAGGGGAAGACGGCAGAACCGGAGGCACGGGCUGAAACGGGGCUGUCUGCGCUCUCCCAGCGGCGACUGGGGACAGAGCAAAAGCCUUGUCUUGCAUCUGCUCUUGAAGGGGGGCUGCUUUCGGGUGCACUCUUGUGCACGUUGAGGCGGAAAGAAAAGCCCUCACGUGCAGAUGAGGAUGCCAGAGAGCACUUCUGCUGUGGUCCCCGCAUCCUCUGGCAGUCCGCACAAACAGUGGCAAUUUGUCUGCUCUCCAGACAUUUAUUGAGUGGAGAGGAGGGCUGAGCACUUGCAGGACAGCAAAGUAGAGAAAUUAAUAGGACACUCAGAGAAUUAAUAAUGUCAUGUGGAACUAUUCCUUAUUUAGUUACCAGAUGAAAAGUGGCUCAAUCCAUUAAACAGCUGUCAAACCGUCCAGUGCCUGGCUGGCCUCGGUGAAAGUAGUUUGUGUGAAAUCCAGUUUUGAGUGUACAGACAUCACUCCCAUUAAGAUAAUUUAUGCAGUUAGUGCAGGCUGGGACUCCUGUUGUCCCUCUCAAGAAUCAGGCUAAUAAUGAAAUAGCACCAAAGACUUUUCUAGCCAGGCAUCAUCUCAUUAGUUCAGCUUUUGGACUUGAGGCCUUUCUAAAAAUGCUGGGAGAUGCCUAUAUUUUAAUGCUAUACAUUUAUUGCACAAAGGAGAGAUGGGAUUCGCAGGUGCACAUUAUGCGUAUGUGUUAGUGAGAGAGACGGCUGGUUUGUCACAUAGGUGUCCGUGCAAUGCAGCAAACCUCCUAAGUUGGUGGAAUCAAAUGAAUCUAGCGUUGUGCGGUACAAAUGAGCCUUUUUUUGGCAAAUGAGCUUUUUUUUGUAAGUAAUUACUUAAAUGGGAUUUUUUGGGAAGUCAAACCAACAGGCUGCAUGAGCGCAGGCUGAACAGGGGAUCUGAGGCGCAGGCGGCAGCUGUAGCUGUACUUCUGUCGUUGCUCAGCUUUUCACCUUGCACGUGCUUACUGUAUUGUAAAGGUAAUUGUAAAAUAAUAACAAUUUCUUCCCUCUCUCUUUCUUCCCCUGUAAAAUACUGAGUGGCAAAGUAGUGUCUGAAGAACAGGCAUUUUUGUGGUUGAAGAUCAAGAAAGGAAGCCUCAUCACUCCCCGUUUAUUGUGGUACUUGCUGCGUGUGAUGAGAGCAAGGGAGGUUUGCACAUUUGGAGCGGCUCCUGCGUGUCUCAACACAUCUUAUCUGGCUCUCCCGAGGAUCAGUGGAACAGGCAGCUGCCGCCUUCAUCCCCCCUCGUGCCGGUACUUCAGCAGUCGCCAACUUUCACCCAGCUUCGAAGGCAGCUUCCUAAGUUUCAGAAAGUUUCACACAGAAGACUUCUCUGUAGCUCCUGAGAGUGUGCUGCCCUUGUUUUUCCUGUGGCUGACUCGCUCCAGCUCAGCUGUCAGUCAAACAGAGCAUCUCCAGGAAGGUAAUGCAGAGGGGACCCGGCUCCCGGCUCAUUAUACGCUUCUGUCAAUAGA